rnacentral:tRNA from 1 species
GCCUGGGUGGCUCAGUCGGUUAAGCGUCCGACUCAGCUCAGGUCACGAUCUCGCGGUCCGUGGGUUCGAGCCCCGCUUCGGGCU